rnacentral:rRNA from 1 species
GACAGAGGAUGCAAGCGUUAUCCGGCAUGAUUGGGCGUAAAGCGUCUGUAGGUGGCUUUUCAAGUCCGCCGUGAAAUCCCAGGGCUCAACCCUGGACAGGCGGUGGAAACUACCAAGCUGGAGUACGGUAGGGGCAGAGGGAAUUUCCGGUGGAGCGGUUAAAUGCGUAGAGAUCGGAAAGAACACCAACGGCGAAAGCUCUCUGCUGGACCGAUACUGACACUCAGAGAAGAAAGCUAGGGGAGCGAAUGGG